rnacentral:rRNA from 1 species
UGCCAGACUCCUACGGGAGGCAGCAGUGAGGAAUAUUGGUCAAUGGGCGCGAGCCUGAACCAGCCAAGUCGCGUGAGGGAAGACGGUCCUAUGGAUUGUAAACCUCUUUUGUCGGGGAGCAAAAAGGCCUCGUGAGGCCACAAGUGAGAGUACCCGAAGAAAAAGCAUCGGCUAACUCCGUGCCAGCAGCCGCGGUAAUACGGAGGAUGCGAGCGUUAUCCGGAUUUAUUGGGUUUAAAGGGUGCGUAGGCGGGACGUUAAGUCGGGGUAAAAAAGGGGGAGCUCAACUCCGUCGAGCCGUUGAAACUGCCGUUCUUGAGUGAGCGAGAAGUAUGCGGAAUGCGUGGUGUAGCGGUGAAAUGCAUAGAUAUCACGCAGAACUCCGAUUGCGAAGGCAGCAUACCGGCGCUCAACUGACGCUGAAGCACGAAGGCGUGGGUAUCGAACAGGAUCAGAUACCCGGGUA